GCCAGUGUGGUGCAGUGGUUUGAGCGUUGGACUAUGAUUCUGGAGAUCAGGGUUCAAUUCCUUGCUUUGAUC
rnacentral:tRNA from 1 species